rnacentral:lncRNA from 1 species
UUGUACUAUAGGAAAUAUCUCUUCAGCUGAGAUUGCAGUGACGUUGUCCAGGGUUUCAAGGUAAUUGCUACAUUCCAAGUUGCUUUCAGUGCCAAAGCUUAAGUAGUGGGGAUAGCUAAAGGAACAGCAUCUUGCCUGCAUAGACGUACCUGGAACUCAAGGGUGCCACAGCCCCCAGCCAGCCUGGGUACUACUGUGCCCAGCUGCAGCUCAUGAGACCAGCUAGAGGAAGGGCAGGCCACCUCAGAUUUUCAGACAGACUAAAGAAGAUUCCCUCGAGCAACAUCCUACAUAUCACAGCUCAUUCAACAGAGCAGUGGAUGCCCUUGAUACCACAGACAGAAACAUUCUCUGUGCUGUACACUCUCAGGAUUAUUCUACCAGUUUGUUGCCCAGUCUUGGGAAGAACUGGUAACCAAGCAUCCUGAAUGGACUUUAUGCUGCACUCCUGCGCUUUGUCCUGGCAGACCUGAAGACUUGCGCUUCUUCAGAGGAACAGCUCUCUGCGUCACCAUUUUGAGGGAUCUGCUGCUGUUCUCUGUGCACUGCCAUGCAGGGCGUGGCUUCGUCUUCAAGCACCUCUGGGGCAGCCUUCUUGUCCUCAGACCGAGACACCCAUGCCCAGCGUGGCCUUUGGAGGGCUCCUCCUGUCGCCCUGGUACAACAGCCCAAAGGAAGCCAAGUGCGCUCUUGUCCACUGCUUGCUUGGGACUCCGUGCAGAAGAGAUGACACCUCGGGGAAAGGGGGACAGGGGGUGGGAGGAGAGGCCAUCGUGCAGUCAAUCCUGCGAGAUGGUAAACGCAGGAUAGCCUGUCCCCGCUAGUUGUGGAGGCGGAGGCAGGGCCGGGAGUACGGA